rnacentral:rRNA from 1 species
GAUGAACGCUAGCGGGAGGCCUAACACAUGCAAGCCGAGCGGUAUUUGUUCUUCGGAACAGAGAGAGCGGCGCACGGGUGCGGAACACGUGUGCAACCUGCCUUUAUCUGGGGGAUAGCCUUUCGAAAGGAAGAUUAAUACCCCAUAAUAUAUUGAGUGGCAUCACUUAAUAUUGAAAACUCCGGUGGAUAGAGAUGGGCACGCGCAAGAUUAGAUAGUUGGUGAGGUAACGGCUCACCAAGUCAAUGAUCUUUAGGGGGCCUGAGAGGGUGAUCACCCACACUGGUACUGAGACACGGACCAGACUCCUACGGGAGGUAGCAGUGAGGAAUAUUGGACAAUGGGUUAGCGCCUUAUCGAGCCAUCCCGCGUGAAGGACGACGGCCCUAUGGGUUGUAAACGUCUUUUGUAUAGGGAUAAACCUACUCUCGUUAGAGUAGCUGAAGGUACUAUACGAAUAAGCACCGGCUAACUCCGUGCCAGCCGCCGCGGUAAUAC